rnacentral:rRNA from 1 species
GGCGGCGUGCCUAAUACAUGCAAGUAGAACGCACAGUUUAUACCGUAGCUUGCUACACCAUAGACUGUGAGUUGCGAACGGGUGAGUAACGCGUAGGUAACCUGCCUGGUAGCGGGGGAUAACUAUUGGAAACGAUAGCUAAUACCGCAUAAUAUUAAUUAUUGCAUGAUAAUUAAUUGAAAGGUGCAAUUGCACCACUACCAGAUGGACCUGCGUUGUAUUAGCCGUAGGUGAGGUAACGGCUCACCUAGGCGACGAUACAUAGCCGACCUGAGAGGGUGAUCGGCCACACUGGGACUGAGACACGGCCCAGACUCCUACGGGAGGCAGCAGUAGGGAAUCUUCGGCAAUGGACGAAAGUCUGACCGAGCAACGCCGCGUGAGUGAAGAAGGUUUUCGGAUCGUAAAACUCUGUUGUAAGAGAAGAAACGGGUGUGAGAGUGGAAAGUUUCAACAACUGUGACGGAUU